UACGUAGGGUCCGAGCGUUGUCCGGAAUUACUGGGCGUAAAGAGCUCGUAGGUGGUUUGUCGCGUUGUUCGUGAAAACUCACAGCUCAACUGUGGGCGUGCGGGCGAUACGGGCAGACUUGAGUACUGCAGGGGAGACUGGAAUUCCUGGUGUAGCGGUGGAAUGCGCAGAUAUCGGAGGACGACCGAGCGAGGCGGCAGCGGGCUGAC
rnacentral:rRNA from 1 species